rfam:Saccharibacillus sacchari DSM 19268 genomic scaffold SacsacDRAFT_Scaffold1.1, whole genome shotgun sequence.
UAAAUUUGAAUAUGCUUACCGUAGACAGUAGGUGCUUUCGGGCUUAAUUUCCUACCGAGGUGUGUGAUAGAAUUUCAGCUUUGCUGAUUCGUCAAGCCUUCGUCUUCUGCGGAGGCUUUUCUUAUUGCAUG